CUAGUUGUUCCUUCGUAUUCAUCGGGUUUGAGAUUCACGCUCUUUUUUAUUACUCUGGCCUAACGGAAAAGCCUCCACAUCUACAUAUAUAAAUACUACCAAAAAUUCAGUUGCACACUCUGCUAUUUCCACCACCAUAACCUCGCUCUCUUCACCCUCUUCUUCUUCUUCUUCUUCUUCUUCACUUUGUAACUUUCGAAUCUUCUUCCUUCCACCGCAAUGGCCACCGCCACGCUUAGCCCCGCCGACGCCGACAAGCUCUCCAACCUCAAAUCCUCCGUCGCUGCAUUGAGCCAAAUCAGUGAGAAUGAGAAGAAUGGAUUCACAAGCCUCGUUGCUCGUUACCUCAGUGGCGAAGCACAGCAUGUUGAGUGGAGUAAGAUCGAGACGCCUACGGAUGAAGUAGUGGUGCCUUAUGACUCUUUGGCACCGACUCCUGACGGUUCUUUGGAGGUGAAGAACCUCUUGGACAAGCUUGUGGUGUUGAAGCUCAAUGGAGGCUUGGGGGACAACUAUGGGUUGUACUGGCCCAAAAUCUGUCAUUGAAGUUCGUGAUGGGUUGACAUUUCUUGAUUUAAUUGUCGUCCAAAUUGAGAACCUCAAUUCCAAAUACGGAAGCAAUGUUCCGUUGCUUUUAAUGAACUCAUUCAACACUCAUGAUGACACUCAAAAGAUUGUUGAGAAAUAUAAAAACUCAAUAUUGAGAUUCAUACGUUUAACCAGAGUCAAUAUCCUCGUUUGGUUGUUGAUGACUUUUUGCCAUUCCCAUCCAAGGGGCAGACAGGCAGGGACGGGUGGUACCCUCCUGGCCACGGAGACGUCUUCCCAUCAUUAGUGAAUAGUGGAAAGCUUGAUGUGCUAUUAUCACAGGGUAAGGAGUAUGUGUUUGUUGCCAAUUCAGACAACCUGGGUGCUGUAGUUGACUUGAAAAUCUUAAAUCAUUUGAUUGAGCACAAGAAUGAAUACUGUAUGGAGGUAAAGAAAGAUACAUUGGCUGACGUGAAAGGUGGCACUCUGAUUUCUUAUGAAGGAAGGGUUCAGCUCCUGGAAAUUGCCCAAGUACCAGAUGAACAUGUCAGUGAAUUUAAGUCUAUAGAGAAAUUCAAAAUUUUCAACACAAAUAAUUUGUGGGUAAACUUGAAAGCAAUUAAAAGGCUUGUUGAAAGCUGAUGCUCUGAAGAUGGAAAUUAUUCCCAAUCCAAAGGAAGUCGAUGGAGUAAAAGUUCUUCAAUUGGAAACUGCAGCUGGUGCAGCAAUAAGGUUCUUUGACAAAGCUAUCGGAAUUAAUGUGCCUCGAUCUCGCUUCCUUCCCGUGAAGGCAACUUCAGACUUGCUUCUUGUCCAGUCGGACCUUUACACUUUACAAGAUGGAUUGGUUAUUAGGAACCAAGCUAGGCAAAUCCUGAAAAUCCUUCCAUUGAAUUGGGGCCAGAAUUUAAGAAGGUUAGCAACUUCUUGAGCCGGUUCAAGUCAAUCCCAGUAUUGUUGAGCUUGACAGUCUAAAAGUGGCAGGCGAUGUAUGGUUUGGAGCUGGUGUAAUCCUUAAGGGAAAAGCAAGUAUUCUUGCAAAACCGGGUGUGAAGCUGGAAAUACCUGACGGAGCUGUGAUCGCAGACAAGGAAAUUAAUGGCCCUGAGGACCUGUGAGAGAAAGCUGAUGAUGAGUUUUGAAAUCCAUGUGACUGUGCAAUCUUUGAGUAUUGACAGUCUUAAACUAAAAUUUGUGUAUUGCUUCUAGUUUGGUAGGGGUAAAAAUAAGAAGGCAGUUUCUACUGAGCAUGUCUGAAGACUAAGCUUUGUAUUUCUCAUAAUUUUGUUUUUAAACAUUUCUUACAAGGACUCAAGGAGGAUCCGAUCAUGUUUUCUUUCCAUAUCAUAUUAAGCGUUUACGCCUUCAUCUUUUGUUGAGUAA